UCCCUGGUGGCUCAAUGGUAAAGAAUCUGCCUGCCAAUGCAGAAGACCUGGGUUCCAUCCCUGGCUUGGGAA
rfam:TPA: Bos taurus chromosome 7, whole genome shotgun sequence.